GUAGUGACGAAAAUAACAAUGCGGGACUCUUCCGAGUCUGCGUAAUUGGAAUGAGCACACUUUAAAUCCUUUAGCCACAACCAAUUGGAGGGCAAGUCUGGUGCCAGCAGCCGCGGUAAUUCCAGCUCCAAUAGCGUAUAUUAAAGUUGUUGCGGUUAAAAAGCUCGUAGUUCGAGUUCAGUUCCGGACUGGCUGGGGAGGUCACCGCCCGGUGCUUCCCCGUCAGGCUCCGAACAGCUUUUAUGACUAAAAGCCAAGUCGGUUUCGCCGGGGUGCUCUUCACCGAGUGUCCCGCGCGGCCGGCCAGUUUACCUUGAAUAAAUGAGAGUGCUCAAAGCAGGCUACUCUUAAAAAUAAAGCCCGAAUGUUACCUGCAUGGAAUGAUGGAAGAUGAAUCUCGGUUCCAUUUUAUUGGCUGUGGGAAUCCGAGUUAAUGAUAAACAGGGACGGUCGGGGGCAUCCGUACUACGACGCGAGAGGUGAAAUUCAGUGACCGUCGUAGGACGAACAACAGCGAAAGCAUUUGCCAAGAAUGUCUUCGUUGAUCAAGAACGAAAGUUAGAGGAUCGAAGGCGAUCAGAUACCGCCCUAGUUCUAACCCUAAACGAUGCUGACUAGCAAUCCGCCGUCGUUAUUCCCAUGACGUGGCGGGACGCCCCCGGGAAACCAUAAGUCUUUGAGUUCCGGGGGUAGUAUGGUUGCAAAACUGAAACUUAAAGGAAUUGACGGAAGGGCACCACCAGGAGUGGAGCCUGCGGCUUAAUUUGACUCAACACGGGAAACCUCACCAGGCCCGGACACCAGAAGGAUUGACAGAUUAAGAGCUCUUUCUUGAUUUGGUGGGUGGUGGUGCAUGGCCGUUCUUAGUUGGUGGAGUGAUUUGUCUGGUUAAUUCCGGUAACGAACGAGACUCUGGCCUACUAAAUAGUCGACGGGUGUUUUGGUGCAUGGGCCCCGUUCGACAAUGUCUUCUUAGAGGGAUGAGCAGCGAGUAUAGCUGCAGGAGAUUGAGCAAUAACAGGUCUGUGAUGCCCUUAGAUGUCCUGGGCCGCACGCGCGCUACACUGAAUGGGUUAGCGGGUUCUCCUUCUCCGAGAGGAGCGGGAAAUCGCGUGAAAACCAUUCGUGAUAGGGAUUGGGGCUUGCAAUUGUUUCCCAUGAACGAGGAAUUCCCAGUAAGCGCAAGUCAUCAGCUUGCGUUGAUUAAGUCCCUGCCCUUUGUACACACCGCCCGUCGCUACUACCGAUUGAAUGAUUUAGUGAGGCCUUCGGACUGGCGGUCUUGGACUGGGUUCCAUU
rnacentral:rRNA from 1 species